GACGAACGCUGGCGGCGUGCCUAAUACAUGCAAGUAGAACGCACAGUUUAUACCGUAGCUUGCUACACCAUAGACUGUGAGUUGCGAACGGGUGAGUAACGCGUAGGUAACAUGCCUGGUAGCGGGGGAUAACUAUGGGAAACGAUAGCUAAUACCGCAUAAUAUUGAUGAUUGCAUGAUAAUUGAUUGAAUGAUGCUAUUGCAUCACUACCAGAUGGACCUGCGUUGUAUUAGCUAGUAGGUGAGGUAACGGCUCACCUAGGCGACGAUACAUAGCCGACCCGGGAGGGGGAUCGGGCACCCCUGGAACGGGACCACGCCCCGGCUCCCUCGGGAGGCAGCCGUAGGGAAACCUCGGCCAUGGACGAAAGUCUGACCGGGCAACGCCGCGUGAGUGAAGGAGGGUUUCGGAUCGGAAAGCUCUGUUGUAAGAGAAGAACGGAUGUUAUAGUGGAAAGUGCACACUGUGACGGUAUCUAAUCAGAAAGGCACGGCUAACUACGUG
rnacentral:rRNA from 1 species